rnacentral:lncRNA from 1 species
CAGCAGUAUGUGAAUACCUGUCAAUCACCCUUGAGGGAACACAAGGGCUGGAAUUUACACGUCAGUGCUGUGGUUGCUGCUGUCACAUUUCCCCUUGGAAACCUCCGCCGAGGACUUUCCCCUCAGCGAGUACAUAUACACCAGCAUCACAGCAUGUCCAGCAUCACCUAUCAGCCUUCCCAUCUUGAAGAACACUUACGCAUCAGGAUCUGAGGACUCCAUCUGCAGCCUGAAGACAUGGCAAAGAUUACAGUCUCUCUCUGCGCACUGCUGGGGCUUCUGCUGGUCUUAGCUUCCGAGGGGGAAACCAGAGUAGGUACACCAAGCAGGGGAUGCUGCACACGAUUCAUCAAGGAUCUGCCUUUGAACAGAAUCCGUGGUUUCAUCGAGGAACGCCAAGGGAUAUGUCGUCUCAAAGCAGUCAAGUUCAUCACCGUAAAGGGUAAGGUUGUAUGUGCCAAUCCAAAUGACCAGUGGGUUAAGGAUGCCAAGGAGUUCAUCAGGUAAAGAGACUUUCUUCUCAUUGUGUUCCAUGUCCUUGGAUGAGGACAUUUUCCAUAACCAUUUCCAAAUUGCCAGUUAAUAGGCCUACAAAAAAGCAAUAUUGCCAAGACAAGUGACUUAUUUGUGUCCUUUCCACAGGACCCCAACUGUGGCACCCUAACCUGAGGACACCUGUGGUGUUAAUCGGAAACUAUCUUUCUGCAUCCAAGGGAUGCUUUUGAUAACUCAAAAGAGCUUUGCUCUAUUUGUGUCCCUUGAUGGGCUUUGUAAGGGAU